rnacentral:snRNA from 1 species
GUGCUAACUUUGGCAGCACCUAUAUUAAAAUUAGAACAAUGCAGAGAAGAUUAGCAUGGCCUCCAUGCGAGAAUGAUGUGCAAAUUUGAAAUGAUGUCCAUUUUUUA